ACGUAGGAGGCAAACGUUAUCCGGAUUUACUGGGCGUAAAGCGCGUGUAGGUGGUUUGGUAAGUAGAGCGUGAAAGCUCCUGGCUCAACUGGGAGAGGUCGUUCUAAACUGCCGGACUAGAGGAUGGUAGAGGGAGGUGGAAUUCCGGGUGUAGCGGUGGAAUGCGCAGAUAUCCGGAGGAACACCGGUGGCGAAGGCGGUUUCCUGGGCUGAUACUGACACUGAGGCGCGAAAGCGUGGGGAGCAAACAG
rnacentral:rRNA from 1 species